rnacentral:lncRNA from 1 species
AAGGGAAGGGAAGGGAAGGGAAGGGAAGGGAAGGGAAGGGAAGAGGAGAGGUCACCACCCUAGCACCCCAGAACAGGGCAACUGGGUGGAGCCAAAUCAGUUUAUUCAGACAUUUUUGUUUUCGCGGGGAAAGAGGGAAAGAGGCCCUAGGUGAGAUGUCCUGUACUGGAAACAACCACAAGUCAGAUUGAGUCUCUUAGCUUCCAAUUAGGUUGGUUUCAGUAUUUUAUACGAAGUAUCUAAUUUUUACCUGGGGAAUGACUGUCCAGAUCAUAAUCUUUUUUUAAGAUUAGUUUCCUGUCCUGGUUUCAAUUUCAAUGGAGUUUACCCUACCUUUUCCUUCUGACCUAUGCCAGGUAUGGAGGAGAAAGCAGUGUGCUUGUAUGUGUGUGUAUACAUAUAUACAUAUAUAUACAUAUGUGUAUAUGUAUAUAUAAAUAUGUACAUGUGUAUAUACAUGUGUGUAUACACACAUCUCUCUAUAUCAGUAGAAUGGAGCAGGUCCUUGUGCCUAUAUGCAGCUGAUUCAGACAUUAAUUACAUAACCAGACAAAUGUACUUGACUUUGGAGGGCCUCCUCCUGCCCACAGACCCUAUUAUUGUUCAGUACAACCUAUCAAGACCAAGACCCCCCCCCCAUUUCCUACAGGAAUUAUCUUUCACCAAAAUCUAAAAUGUCCUUACUGCUGUCUGUCUGUUACUAAUAAAAACAGCCUACCUUGUGUAAUUAAACAGUCGAAUCUGACUACAUGCCGAUUUUAUUGGUAGUGACUGUGGCAAAUUA